AGGACCAGUAACAUCACGGGAUGAUAUCUUGACCUGCCAAUGAACUGGACUCAAGUGAGGAAGAGUUGCACAAAAUCACCAACUUCACUUAGUCCUCCAGAUCCAGGGGUGAGACAAAAGUCAGGACGACUGACGAUGGUCCUCAAUGCAGUAAUGACCUGGGUGUCUUCAAUGUCUGACCAGCACCCUAAGCACUCUACAGCACCUGCUUCAGUCAUCUUCAUGGCCACUGGAACAAAUCAUUCUCAUCUCAUCCAUUCUGUGGGGGAAAGUCUUCACGUGCUUGUGAGAGAUACUCCCCUAACUCACUGACAGGUUUGAGGUCUACUGGUGGCCCUCAACCUGGCUGGAGUACAUGGCGUGUCUCUGGUGUGAGGAUUUGCCAAACCCUUUCCAGGGUUGCUCAUCCACCUUUGGUGUCCAUCUGUCAUUUAUUUCUCACCUGUGGCUUCAAGAAGCUGUAGCUCAUGCAAUGGCCACAUCCCCAUGAAACCAUUUUGGAAGGGGCAAGAAGUAUUUUGUGACUGUUUCCUGUCUGCAUACUAUACAGUGAAGAAAAGCCUUUUAAGGGUCUGGAGUCAGAAGGACUGGUUUCCAAUAUGGCCUCAGACACGUCCUAGCUGUGUGACCCUGGGCAAGUCACUUCACCUCCAUUGCCUAGCCCUUACUCCUCUUCUGCUUUGGAAUCGAUCCAUAGCAUUGCUUCUAAGAUGAAAGGUACAAGACAAGGGAAAAUGUAUUGGCUGGAGGUGUUUGCCAUUACCAUGGUGGAUAUCCUGUACAGAUUCCUAAAGGAAGGGAUCCUAUAGAUGGGGAUGUUCUUCAGAAGCUCCCAUUUGCAGAUAAAUCUGUGCUGAUUGCAUCAAGCCCUUGGAACACUGCAGAGGCUCUGAAAUGAAAUUCAUGGUGACUCAGAAAAGAUCAGCCAAAGAAUCUGCACAUGAAAACUGAAGAAAUGAAGCAUGCUUAUUGCCUGGUCCAUGAUAUGCCGUUGGAUGGUCCACCCAUUGAACUGGUCCAUAAAUACUUCUAUCUUGAAAAGAUAAUGCAAAUGAACAAUUGGCUACAUACAGAGAUAACCAAUAGGAAGAGAGAAGAUAGUUUUACAUUUGGUGAAACAAAUGGGCAUUUCUCUCUAAGAGGAAAAAAAAGUUAUUUUUUUUUAACAUCAGUAAUCUUCCAAGGAUGCUCUAUGACUACAAAUCAUGAACCAUUAGGAAAGAUACAGUUGUAACCAUUUGGUUAUCUGCCUGCCCUAACAACUCACCAGGCUGGAUGGGAACCAAGAAUAGUUAGAGUUCCACAAUGGAUCCUGGGACUAUCGCCUUCUCCGAACACUGGACUUUUAGCCACAAAAACACGGAUUCUCAGAGCCCUGAGAAAGAGAUCAUCGAAUCUGACCAGUAUCUGAAGAAGGAGCCCCCUUCCCUUCACACACACCCCAUCUCAUUUUAACAACGUACCGGAACAGGAAUCCUGCCCGCCUUUGCUUGUUCCUAUCCAGGAACAGGGAAUCCAUCACUUGGAGAAGCAGCCCAUACCAUUUUUGGAAAGGUUAGAAUCUGAAGUUGCCUCUUACCAGAUUCCAGGCAGUUCCUAGUCCUGCCCUCUGCAGUCGAGCAGAAUGAGUCUAACAAAGCCCUUAAACAUUGCUGACCUGCCCCCCCCCAUCUUUUUUUCAAGUUAAGCAUCCCCUGGCCCUUCAAACAAUCUCCAUGCAGCAUUUUAUCCGGCAACUUCACUGCUUUGAAGACUGUAUCCAUCCCUGCAAAGGCUCCAGAUUCUACCCCUUUAAAGGGUCCAGAUACAAAGAUUUGCUUUAGUACACAUGUAAAGUAAAGUACACAUGCCUCAAACAGGACCUUUCCCCGAUUUGGCUCAUGGGUUCAUGGAAUAAUAGAAAAACCUUCUGUUUGGCUUUUAAAACUCCCUUUAACGUGGCCCCUUUCCUACUUUUCUAAUCUUCUUAUGCCUUACAACCCCGCCCCAACCCCAAUAAUACUCUUAGAUCCAGUGACACUGGUGGCCUCCUUGCUGUUCCUUGCACAAGACACUCUGACUUAUCCUGUAUUUUACUUGUUUGUUCAUAGGUACUCCCCCAUUAGGCCGUGAGCUCCUAAAAAAAUAGCUUUCUCAAAAUCACAUCUCUAUAUAGUAACAAUUUUGAAUUUUCUUAUGAGCUCUUCAUAUUCCAUUUUCUAUUAUAAUUAUUUGUGCACAUGUAUGGUGGCACAAGCAACAUCUUAUUUAUUUUUCUAUUGUUCAUCCACCAUACAAACCUUUUGUAUUGAACUCUCUACUUGGGCCAUACUUAAUAGUGUUUUGCCACAUUAAAUGGAAUUAUAAUAUACUGUCCAAAAAAAAAAUAAAUUGUUUGCUUUUCUUUGCA
rnacentral:lncRNA from 1 species